AACGCGAAGAACCUUACCCGGGCUUGAACUACUCGUGGUAGGCCGAUAGAAACAUUGGCCGACCCGCAAGGGAGCGAGCAGAGGUGCUGCAUGGUUGUCGUCAGCUCGUGUCGUGAGAUGUUGGGUUAAGUCCCGCAACGAGCGCAACCCCUAUCUCAUGUUGCUAAUCCCGCAAGGGAUGCACUCUUGAGAAACUGCCUUCGAUAAGAAGGAGGAAGGUGGGGACGACGUCAAAUCCUCAUGGCCCUUAUGUCCGGGGCUACACACGUGCUACAAUGGCCGGUACAACGGGAAGCAAUACCGUAAGGUGGAGCCAAACCCUGAAAGCCGGCCCCAGUUCAGAUUGUGGGCUGCAACCCGCCCACAUGAAGGCGGAAUCGCUAGUAAUCCCUGAUCAGCAGGCAGGGGUGAAUACGUUCCCGGGCCUUGUACACACCGCGUGUCU
rnacentral:rRNA from 1 species